CCUUACCAGACAACUGAAAUAUAGUACGGCCGGACUGGGCGACGAUCUGCGCACAACGAAGCCGAUCGCCAGAAACAAAGAGUAAACCAGGGCUGACAUCCGCGUUAGCUGGUGACAGGUACAGAUACACAAGAAGAAGCUUUGCCCAACCUUCCAGAGAUUCCGUCCUCCUCCUCCUCCGAAUUGAUCUGCUUUCGGGUGGCAAAAGGGAAAAAAGCUGGACAACACUUAACAGACUGGAAAAAGCGGGCAGCAUCUGACAUCCACGACCUCCAAUGAGAGAUGCGAAAUGACACAGAAGAGGACUUCAGAAGAGGUGUGGCCAGUGCAUGCAAGCAAAGAGGCAAACUCUCUAAACCCGUCCAGGUGUGAGUCACAGGCAUGGGGCGAGGGCUGCAUCACUGCCAUAAACAAGUCUACAUAAAAGGGGGAUGGGGGGGGGGGGGGUUGACCAUUAGGAAUGAGGUCUAUCUGUGAUGAAGAGAAUUUCCCUGUAAAAGCCUGUAACUUACCUAGAACAAUUAACUGGUGUAUGAAAAGCAUAUAAUUCCACCAAUGAAUUAGUCAAUGCCACCAAAAUUAAAAGUAUAGUCUGCAUAGUUUUAACCUUGAGAGUCAAAAUGCUUAGAUAUAUAGUCAGUAUGUCAGUGUAACUAUGCUCCUUAGCUACAAAAUUGUGAUAGUUCUCACUUUUCUCAUUGUCACUGGCUGAUUGAUUUUCUUUAACAUACUAAUAGUUAUUCAUGUCGAAGACACCAGUUGCAACAUUGCAAGGUUCUUCUUUAUAAUAUGUAAAGUUCACUGGCAGGAGAAAGUACUUGCGUGCACAAGUAACUUCUUCAUAUCUCAAGACACAGUAAAAUAGCAAACAAAAAAGUUACACAGCAGUGUAUAACACAAAAACAACAACAUGGCAAUAUAAGAAUAUCAAAAUGACAACAAAAUCAUGUACUGUGUGAAGCAAUGAGAAACGAAGUUCCGCUCUGCAGAAGUGACAUUAUGGUGUGGGGAUUACACUUGCUGCUUCACAGAUGUUAAUUGCCAUUUGAGAAAUGCUCCAAAGCAAUUAAGAAAAUUGUAAAAUGACACCACAGUUUUUCCCUUGAUGCAACAUGAAAACAAUUCAGACCCAUAUCGAAAGUGUCACGAUCCGUGGUUGAACCGGGUGAUCGCACGGGCAGGCGAUGCGGGCAGAAAGCAGGCAAGCAGGCGAAGUACUGGGAAUACUGGGGAUUUAUUAACGGGCAGGACAACAGGGAGCAAUACGCAGGUACUGAAAUUGACAAACAUCAAUGACGGACAAAGAACUAAGGCAAGACAUGGACUGAAAUAGACAGGACUGGUCGAAAAUAAUUAGACACAGCUGGGUACGAUCAGGGAAGCACAUGUGGGUAAUCAGGGGGCGUGGCACACAUGAGGAUCGGACGAGCCGGGCAUGACAGAAAGAGCUCAGGGAGAGAUGUGACCACCCUACAGCCCCCUAAACCAAAAUCAAGAAAUAAUAAAAUUCACAAAAGGCACAUGAAAGGUAUGGUAGGCCAAAGGAAAUCACAAUCCAGGGGCAUGACUAUUGAAGUCAGCUCCUCCCACCCAUACGGAUAACAGGCUGUCACUGCCCCCUCCUCUUAAAUGACUCAUUAGUUACUAUCCAAUAAAUAAGCAAAUAACCAUAAAUAAAUGGAUAAAUAAAGAAAUGGGAUAGAUAGAUAAAUAGAUAGAUAGAUAGAUAGAUAGAUAGAUAGAUAGAUAGAUAGAUAGAUAGAUAGAUAGAUAGAUAGAUAGAUAGAUAGAUAGAUAGAUAGAUAGAUAGAUAGAUAGAUAGAUAGAUAGAUAGAUUUGCUUAUUCAUGUACAUAUAUGUAUGCAUAUAUAUCAUGCUUCACCAGGGAACAUCCUUAUUCCCUCUAUCUGAAAAAAGCAUAACUUCAAAGGCAAAUGGAUAUCCCAGUAACAUGUGAAAAAAGCAAAGGGAUAUCCCAGUAGUGUGUGACAAAGGCAAAGCGAUAUCCCAGUAGUGUAUGACAAAGACAAAGGGAUAUCCCAGUUAUCCCAGUAACAUGUGACAAAAGUCAAGGGAUACCCCAGUAGUGUGUAGCAAAGGCAAAACAAUAUCUUAUUCGCGUGUGGCAAAGGCAAUGAGAUAUCCCAGUAGUGUAUGACAACGGCAAAGGGAUAUCCCAGGUGCAUGUGACAAAGGCAAUGAGAUAUCCCAGGUGCAUGUGACAAAGGAAAAGGGGUAUCCCAGUAGCGUGUGACUUGCUGUAAAAGAACACAUCCUGUUAUAUAUGUUAUGAUUUCAAUAUCUUAUCCAUAGUGAACAAACACACAUGACGUGGAGUUUGGGACAGAUCAGAGAAUUAUUGAAAGAAUUCCUGGAUGGUUAGGGAUUACAGAAAAUAACUGUGAAGACAAAAAUAGCCAUCAAAACAAAGAGCCAGACUCUGUGUAUGAACAUCCCAGUCAAUACUGUAGAAAGUGUCAAUGUUCACAAACUUCUGUUAGAUUACAUUUAGGCAGAUGCUAUUUUCACCCAAGCAUCUGUAUCAAGCAAUGCUAUUCCACUAAAAAAUCCAUGGCUAAUGCUAUUAAAUCUCCUGAGUGUUUUUAUUGCACCCCCUCCCAGAAAAUCAAAAAUUCCUCCCCAUGUGCUACACAUAAGAUGGGAAUUCUCCUCCAUUGUGAAAAAAUAAUUUCAAGUCUUUUAGCCAAUACUAACACUAAUUACCAAGAUCACUGUUUAUCUUCAGCUAGCUAACUAUUGCUAGAACAAGAGGACAUUUUGUGUUUACUGCACCCUACCUUUUACAUUCGUAUCCCACUGUGGCACCUUCAGCCAUAGAAGUGACAUGAAACCAUUCAAGCAACACAGUGUUUGCGAGUGUGCCACCAGGGGGCGGGGACUCAGGAGACUGGGUGUAAAUAGACAAGUAGGUGCCGUGUGACUAUUUUCACCCUAGUGUAAAUAGACACUCCAUUACACAUAUUUUGCAUUUUUAGCUAACACUGCAUACAACUGAGAAACCAGGUGUAGUCAGUUCCUGGAGUAACUGGGGUUAAGGGCCUAGCUCAAAAGUCCAACAGUGGCAUCACUCUGCCAAGCAUGGAAUUUGAACCAGUAACCUUCCAAUCACUGACACAGAGUCCUAAUGCACAGAGCCACACACCGAUAUUAUCUUGUGUAUUUUAGCCAAAUAUUAGCACUGACCCUCUUGAAUGAAUCCAUGAUAUACCUUGACCACAGUUUCAGCUAUGCUUCAUUUUUUACAAAAAAGACAAGGAACAAAAGAAUAGAAAUGGAAUGUAAACACACAUUUUUACUCUCCUUACUAUCAGAUUAAGACACUGGAUCCUUCCUUUCAUUGGCUGAUGAUUUUCAGUAUCUGUACCAUCAUUUUCAGUUAAUUCGUCUACUGUAUACACUUAGUUAUAAAAUGCAUCUUGGGUGAUCGGAUCACAAGUGCACAAUGCUAAAUACAGUACAAGCAUAAACAACCACCAAGCUGGACACCUUGAAGGGGCAUAAUAGAUGUAAAUGGUGAUGUAUUUCAGCUGUCUACUUGUUGUCUGAUAGCCCAAGAUGCAUUUUAAAACGAACUGUAAACAGCAUCUAAGUCAAUGCAUCACAGUUGGAAAAUUGGAAAUAUAAAUAGUUCAUCGAUGAAAGAGUCCAUGCGUCCAUUUAGAGUCCAUUUAGUGUCCAUUUAGUUUAGCUUGAAAAUAUGAAUGCAACCAAAAUUUAGGAAAUGCAUUCCAGCCACCUUCCCUUAAUACAAAAGUGGUGCUUUGUGACUAAUGUUAAUUUCAUUACAUUAUGCCAUACGAAUUUUUGAAUGAAACAUUUCCGUCACAUGAUCUGUUUAUGAAUUUGGUCACAGUCUUAUCAAUCAGACAGUCGUUUCAACAACCUGACCCCAAGCAAACCUUUGAAUAUCCCCCCCGUCUGCUCUGUCAAUGAAAGAUGAAAUGUCUAUAUGUAGCUGAUAGAGGAAUUUCUUUCGGUUUAGUGAUGACAUUUACUAACAUGCAGGCUGUAGCUUGUACCCCAUCUUCACAAAUAUGAGUUCUGCCACAGCAACUCAUUCUCACCCAGAAAGCUACUCAACCUUCAGAACAUUUUCUUAUGUAACAUUCCCAAAACCUAAAGAAAUCCUCAUUUGCUCUUAUAUAUAACAUGCACAAAAUCUGAAUUUGGUUCUAAAAAUCUGUAUUUUCAUUAGUAUGAGUCUGCUCUCGACUUGUUCUGCCAGCUUACCAGAUCUCUGGGAAUUGGUACCAACACAUUGCACUGUCCAAAUGAUUUGCUUUGCUAAGAAUAUAUGAAACUAUUUCUUUAGUUAAUGACCCAAAUCUUACCAGCAUUAUAAGCAUGAACCAUUAUUCUAAACUAGAUUCUUGAGAACCUUCUGAAAUUUCCUUUACUAUUAGCAACCCCUCUUUUAGUUAACAGUUUGAUUGCAUUAGUUGUCAAGUAUAGUUGGGUGCAUUGUUGUCAAAUUCCAGUAUUAAACAGAUUGUUUCAUUCUGGGAUUAGACAACUGCCAUUUGUGUAUAAUACAGCAAUGAUAACUGAUAGUUCUGUGGCAAGUAAAUAUGUAUCCUAAAUAGGAAGCAUUAUAAAUCCUUUACCUCCGGAACUGAACGGGUCUGUUAUUGUUGCUUAGUUUCCUUAACUCUUUGUAAUUUGAGUUUUUUAACAUCUUUUGAAUAGGGAAAGAGGCUCCUCUAAUUAAAAUCCUGAAAAAGUACUUGAUGAACAUAGAGAUAAGAGGUAGGGUUACAAUGGCCCACUGGGACGCAAUAAAUCAUAAUAAAAGCGAAUGUAAGAAACAGGGAAGCGAGAUACUAUAACUAGGGUGACCUGUCAGCAAAUCAAUGAAAUGAGAAAACAGCCUGAUCACCCCAAAGCCCCCAGUCUCCUUCAUACUAAGGUGUACAAUGUUAUGCUGUUGAUUAAGGUUUGUUUUCAUAUUGUAUUUAGUUCUGCAUUGACUACCCAGAGAGCCACCCAUUAUUACAAAUAUGCCUGAUUGAGCUGGGCUUUCCUUUGCUGAGCUCCUGAGAGCACUCUGCUGCUAAUCAGGGCCACCGCAUCCUGCCUAAAAGCGAUAGCUUCUUUCAAAGCCUUUUCAAGUGAUAUGGUGAUUAUUCCUUAGGUUGUAGAUAAAGCAGGUAAGAUAGAUAACAACAGAAAGAAAAUACCAAAUGAGUUAAAUUAGCAUUCCAGAUAUUCACUGAGGGGAUGGCAUGGUGGUGCAGUGGUUAGCACUGUUGCCUCAUACCUCUGGGACCCGGGUUCGACUCUCCGCCUGGGUUACAUGUCUGCGGAGUUUGCAUGUUCUCCCCAUGUCGUCAUGGGCUUUCCUCCGGGUACUCCGGUUCCCCCCCCCCCCCCACAGUCCAAAGACAUGCUGAGGCUAAUUGGAGUCGCUAAAUUGCCCGUAGGUGUGCAUGCGUGAGUGAAUGGUGUGUGAGUGUGCCCUGCGAUGGGCUGGCCUCCCAUCCUGGGUUGUUCCCUGCCUCGUGCCCAUUGCUUCCGGGAUAGGCUCCGGACCCCCCGUGACCCAGUAGGAUAAGUGGUUUGGAAAAUGGGUGAAUGGAUAUUCACUGAAAAGGAUGCAAGCAAAAAUAAUUGAAUACUGUACUCCUAAUUCCAUCUAGUAUGAGUUCAAUGUGCAACUAUGAAAAGUACAGUAGGAAGGUAUACAGUAUAUAUGGUGGACACAGUUUUAGUACAAGAUAUUUUAAUUUUUUUAUGAGAAAUCUCAUAUUUCUUAUAGAUUCCCUCAUGACUGCAUCACACUAGUGUGACGAAGCAAUCCAUUGAUAACUGAAAUAGUAUACAAUAGUACAAUAAUAACUGAAUAUAUCUGUACUUCCAUGAAAUUAAUAUCCAAAGACAGUCCUGCUGAGACUGCAGAAGGCCUAGCCGAAAAUACUUUGGUCAUCUUGCUAAAAAUGAGUACUACUGCUUUAAAGCAAGUUUAGUAGAUGCUAAUGAUGAUGUUACCUAAAGGGUUACCAUACUAC